UAGACAGAUUAUUGUAUUCGACUGUAUUCACGACGUGAAAUAGUGGAUUACACUGUUUUUAAAACGGAAAGUGAAUCAAUUAACACAAUAGACUCCU
rnacentral:pre_miRNA from 1 species